CAAAAUUAGUGUGCUAUUGCAGAUUUUAUCAUACCAUCGACUGUUUAUUUUGCUUCCUUUUUAGCUUCUUCCGUGAUGGGUUCAUGCUUCUCUUAGGAUACAUCAUAUGAACAUAGUGGUGCAACACGCCGCCCUCCAUGAGGGGGCCUGUUCUCUUGCAGACAUGAUGAGCUCAUUCCAAGCUCACAAAAACAUUGAUUUGUUGUUGCAGGUGAUUAUUCAUGAAUAAUCCGACACACUAUUUGCAGUGAGUGGAAAGAAUAUGCACAGAGGUAACACAGUUGUGCUGGAUGACGUGUUGCCUG